UUCAUAGUCUUUUUGUAUACUUUGGACUUUCUCUUUUUAGAGGAUGUACUCAGAUGUUUGCUCUUAGCCUGUCUGCUCGCAUGUAAGAGUGAGACUUGAAGAGCUUUCCAGGAGCUCUGGCUGUGGGGGUGGUUGUUGACUAAUUGGAUGAGGACGAGCUGUUUCUCUGGGGGGGGGGGACUUAAACAUAAUAAGUACCCAUUUUUCUUGCGUUCACCUCCCCAGAUGGCAACCCUCCAGUCUCCUGCCUGGGGCGCGGUACAAGCCUGGCUGUCAGCAUUCGGGGAACAAGAGGUGGGGAAAGGGAGGAGGGGCCUUGUUCUUUACCACAUAAACCUGUUUUUCAAGAAGGUGUCGCCCUUUACUUUUCCUGUGCCUCGUAUCUCAAGCCCCUACCCACUCUGCUUCUCCAUCUCUGGGGAGUAACCCACAUGCCUUCUGAGCCAGGAGAGGGGCAAUCAUGUGGCAUACCGACUGGAGGAAAGACUUUGCAGGAAGUGUCAACAACGACAUAACCGAGUGACCCUGAAAACUAGUGGCUUAAAAUUCCACUGCCCAUUUAUUACUGCCCACGGUUUCUGUGGGUUGGAACUUGCCCUGGGCACAGGGGAUGCCUUGUUUCCACUCUGUGCCGUCUACAGCCUCUGCUGGAAGGUGCCAGGGCUGGGGGCUGGCUGCUAGGGCACUCGCUUGUGACAUCUUCAUGCACCUGGCCUUCCUCAUAAUGUGCCGGCUGGCCUCCAAGGGCAACUGUUCCUGAGAGAGAGCAGGGCACGUGCUGGGCUGCCCUUUGUGACUUAUCACCAGAAGCCAUGGACCACUUCUUUCACCCCAUUCCUCGCUUAUGAAAGUCUGCCCGGGUUCAAGGGGAAGCAUCCACCCCACCCCACCAAUCUCAACAGCACUGCCAGUGAAAGACAUAAAAGAAAAACCUGAACAACAGGUCAGAGCAAAAGAGACUGACAAGUUACCCAGCAGUACUGAACCUCGACAGCAACCAAGUGCCUUAUUUGCUAGAGGAAAUAGGAAAGCAGCCAAAAGUCCUCAAAGAUCAUCAACUAAAAUAAAGGAGAAGAAGCAUCCGUUUGCUCUUUAUGGGUGGGGAGAAAAACAGACCGAUACAGGAAGCCAAAAAACUCACAACGUCUGCGCGUCUGCCCCCGUGCAUGAGAUUCAUGAAUCAGCAUUACGAGCCAAGAACAGAAGACAGGUGGAAAAAAGGAAACUGGUCACUCAGAGGCAGCGCGCUCACUCUGUAGACGUGGAGAAAAACCGAAAGAUAAAGCCUUCCUCCUCAGAGAACCCAUGGAUGACAGAGUACAUGAGAUGCUAUUCAGCAAGAGCUUAAAGGCCGAAACAGUUGCUGGGACAGCCUCUUCAAAAGAGUGUAAAUGAAAAAAAAAGAAGAAACAAAACAAAAGAAAACAGACAUAGAUUUAAGAAACCAGCUGAUUAUGCAAGGUUUUCCGUAGGGAAUGUCCAAAAGAUUGCUCUAUUUCAGUGAACCCUGGUCACCUACCUCAGCAGUAGGGCGACAGUUGAAGCCAUAGAUAUUUGGUUAUUUAUGAAGCUCAGUCCCUAAUAUUUGAUAUUCUUAUAAGGGUUUUUGUUUUAAAGCAUCUUAAUCUUUUCAGAUACCGCCACCGAAUGCCUUUAAAUGGCUAUUGAUGCUUAACAUUCAGUAUUCUCUGUCAGUGUAGCCGGAGCCUGUUUUCAUCCUGUCCUGAGUAACUUUCCAGAUUCCAUAGUGAGGAAGAUCAUUCCGACCUGUAGCUUAAGACUCAUUUUCCUUACGCGUGGUUUUCUGCGUGAAAGAACGGCUCAUCGAAAGGGAGUUUCGACACUAACAUCGAUUCCUUGUAUAGUGACGCCAGAACCCCCGCAGUUCCUGAAAAAGUAAACUUACUCGUCUUUCAAUUAUGGCACCACUUUACACAGACCGUGAUAUUUAAGAAUUAUCUGGGCUGGAACUCAUUCCUAACAAAGCCUUGACGAUGUACGUUGUUCAGACUUCCGCUGAAAUGCAUUUCUCCCGGAUUCCUAGCCAGUGGAAUGAGACGAUGGUGGUGUUUGUCUAGGCACGGAUGUUGAGCAUGUAAAGAAAGCGCUCCUUCCCUGGUACAUUUCCUUUGGGGUAGAACAAAAUGGUUUUAAGGAAUGCUGGUUUCCACCCAGCCGAUACAGGAAUCUACAGGAAGGAAGCGUGCCGAAUUCUCUGGAAGAGGGGAAAAAGGUCCUUUGCCUGGGCCAGGUUAGCACCUGUAGAUGGGUGAAUAAAAUUUGCUAUUAGGUGUGAGGUUGAACAUUCCCUUGCUGUUUUUACUCUGGAUCUUUGAAGUGUUGUCAAUUUUUACUCUUUUUUUUUUUUUUUUUUUAAAGUAGGCUCCAGGCCCAGUGUGGGGCUAGAACUCAUGACCCCGAGACCAAGAGUAUGCUCUACGAAUUGAGCCAACCAAGCCCCCCAUAGUCAAUGUUUAGAACACAAAUAUGUUGUAUUCCACAUAAAGUCUUCACACGAUGUCCUCUUACAACUGUGUAAGCUUUGAAAACUCAAGAAUCAGGAGCUUUAAAAAAAAGAAAAAAGACUUUUUAAAUACUUGCAUCGUUCUGAGGUGAAUCCUUUUACAUAGAGAGCUCUCCUAAUCAUUGAGAUGGGUAUUUAACAGGAAGUUCUAUAUGUUGGUCCAAAACCACCCUGCUAAUAAUCCUGGUGAACGUUACUGUCAUUAUUAAAGUCCUUAAACACUGCAGGGACCUAACGAUCAAAUUAACGGGGCAUUGUGAUGGUGCAGCUGUGAAAACUGUUCCUUCCAAAGCCCUUCGUGCACGUUUGUGUUUAGGCAUCCAGCUCAAGCGUUCCUGUUGCACCUGACAAUCUCCGGGAAGAUGGCCUUGGGUGUAGGUCAGGUUCCACACUGACGGGCUGCCUUAGAAACCCAGCUUCCUCUCGGCUUUACCAAGCCGGACUCCCUCCCCUUUAGGGAACAGACUCGUAUUUAAUGUGCUUCCUUACUACUGGCAACUCCAGAUGGAGACAAAACCUAGAAGGCAAUAUUGGCCAGUUUUACCCCUUUUUUAAGUAGAAGACCAAUGGACAGGAUUUUUAAAGUACUUUUCAUGUGCAUGAACAAUGAGUACAUCAGCCUGAAUUAACUGUGAGUCCCCUUCCCAUGUCCAAGUCAUUAGUUGGUGAGGGUGUCUUUUUAGGGGUGAAAAUCACCUUUGGAGCCCAUGAAGUUUUUUAAGCGGUAACCAUUUGAUGGUCUGACUGUUCCCUUCGUUCUAGAAACUUAAUGUUCCUAAUUCUUAUAAAUCGUGUUCUUAAUUCUUGGGACAGCGUGGAAGACAGCAAACUAGUUUAAAAUUACCUUUCAUGUUGAAAAGUCUGAAACUGAAAAUCCAGUGAGAAUAUGAAAUAAAAUAAUCGCUGCCUAAGAUUCUCUUUUUUAAAUUUUGGUUUUAAAAUUAAAAGUUUGCCAUAAACAUGGUUUCUGUGUUACUUUUAUUAAAAGCAGUAAUCGGAUACUAAGUAACAUGUAGCAACUCCGCUGGACCAAGGCAAAUGACAAGUAAAUAGAAAUCUAUUUCUUUUUUUGAAAAAAUAGUUUGAAAUACUUUUUUAAGUGUAUCUUUAUUUAUUUUGAGAGACAGAGCAAGCAGGGGACGGACAGAGAGAGAGGGAGACAGAAUCCCAAGCAGGCGCCGCACUGCCAGCACAGAGCCCGAUGCGGGGCUCGAACUCGCAAACCACGAGAUCAUGACCUGAGCCAAACUCAAAGAGUCGGACGCUUAACCGACUGAACACCCAGGCGCCCCUACUCUUUCAUUUUAAACCUAAAAGGCUGCUCUUAUUUAGGAGGUAUCAAAAUACUCGGUACCUCUGGGUUUUAUACACACACACACACACACACACACACACACUCCUAUAUACAUAAACUCCACCGCGGUGACAUUUCUAAGUACAUAUAUACAUUUUUUAAAAGUUUACUAAAGGUAUAAUAGGGUAUAGAUUCUCUUAAUUGCUCAUGAUGUAGUAGGCACCUAUUUAUGGUACUUCAUAUGUAAUACCUUUGUCAUUGUUUCAUUAAAUAAAAAUUGCCAAUAACUUGAAA